UCAGCUUUGUAGAGUUUGUCCUCUCAGCCGAUGAACAAAGAAAUGCACAUGAGCAGGGAACUGGAUCAGAAGCAGAGCAGCUGGGACUCGAACUGGAACUCCAACUUGGGACGCUCCAAGAGGUGACAGCGCACAGGUCCGGUGUGUACCAUGUGACGGUGAGGGGACAGGAAGGCAGGGGUUUGAAGCAAAUCUGCCUUGAGCCCCUGCUUCCGGGUCAGGGUGGGCCAGGCCAGGCUGUGAUAAACAAAGCCAGACAAGGUCUCACCUUUGUGGAGGUUGGGGUCUUUGGUCAGGGACAGAUAUGGAUCAGAUAAGCCCAACAAUGAAUGAAAAGUCACAAACUCUAGGCAGGGUGAGGCAGUGUGGGGACAGCUGGGGGCGGGGCAGGGGCGGCCUGGGGGAUCUGGGGGCACAAGAGGGACUCCGGAAAGGAGGGGGGACUUGUAAUUGAGGUUUGAAGAAUGGCUCCAGCUAACCAGGUGCCAAGGGGCCAGUGGAGAGCCCUGCAGACACGGGGCGUCUGCAGGAGGGGGCACGGGGUGGAAUGAGAACCGUGCACCGCAGGGGCUGUGGCCAGGACCCAGACCAGCAGAGGCGGGGAGUCUACAUCCCAGCAGGGCAGGAUGAGCGCCUGUGAGGCUUCAUCCUGCGGAUGAUGGGAAGCCAGGGUCAGGGUUUAUUUAUUUAUUUAUUUGAAAGAUAGAGUUACAGAGAGAAGUAGAGACAGAGAGAAGAGAGAGAGGUCUUCCAUUCACUGCUGAUUCAUUCCCCAACUGGCCGCAAUGGCCGGAGCUGCAUCGAUCUGAAGCCAGGAGCCAGGAGCUUCUUCCAGGUCUCCCACACAGGUGCAGGGGCCCAAGGAUUUGAGUCAUCUUCUACUGCUUUCCCAGCCAUAGCAGAGCUGGACUGGAAGAGGAGCAGCUAGGACUAGAACCUGCGCCCAUAUGGGAUGCCGGCGCUUCAGGCCAGGGUGUUAACCCGCUGCACCAUGGCGCUGGCCCUCAGGGUCAGGUUUUAAACCUUGGGGUGGAGGACAACGUGGGUGCAGGGGUGGUGACGUGACCAGACUUGGGUUUGGAGAAGGUCUUUCUGGCGGCAGAAUAGAGGAUUGCAGAGGACAAGACAAGAGGCAGGAAGCCAGCUUUUUAUUACUUGUGGACCUGACGCUUGCCUGCAACUUGCAACUGCCGCCUUCUUCUCUAACUUAUUGGGUCAUGUUAACACAGCUCACACAAUUUAACAUUACAUAACACACACAUGUAUAUUUAUUUAAUUUCUAUGUAUAUAUAACACACAUAUGUAUAUAUGCUGGCC
rnacentral:lncRNA from 1 species